AUGGGGACGCCCUCCUGCAGUUACUUCCCUGGGAUUGAGUGUACGUUGGCCGCUGAAGCAACAGUGGAGAACCAAGACGAUUCUGCCCUGGAAGUCAUUGCGCUUAAAUCAAGGAAACACAAACAGUACAGUGGCAAAGUGAACGUGGCUUGUUUGGCACAGACUUUCUACUCUAAGAAUGUCAGCCUUGAUGUACCCAAGGGCAGCACUGUAUAUGACCUGAAGGCACCUCUUGUCACAUCAGAGGGGAUGUACAGUACUAUGAAGGUAGUUGUGGUGGAACCAGAUACAGCGGUGACCUGCAAGGCUAUGCACAAGGGCAACAAGACUGCAGCCAGCACAACCCUUCCAGCAGAAAAGAAAUCUGAAGAACUGGUAACAGUGAAUGCUUGCAACGUUACAGACACCUCUUCAAAAGCAGGUAUCAAAAUGGAGAAAGUGAACAUGCUGUUCAUGACUGCAUUGGGUUUGAGAGUCCUGCUGGCAAAAAGCAUCGCCUUCAAUAUACUCAUGAGUAUCAGGCUGCUUCUCUUCUGAGGCAGGGAACACACCCUUCAGUCCCUGGGAACAUAAGAG
rnacentral:lncRNA from 1 species